UUAUUAAAAUGAAAUCUGCUAGAAAUGAAAAACCUUCAGAUAAUCCACUCGUCUGAGAAAGCUCUUUUCUGCUGGUGCUCUUGCUUAACAACAAGGAUAUAUACUGUUCUGACUUAGAUCGAUUGAGGAAGUUUAAAGAUUUAAAGGCAAAAUGCAGGUUUUCAAGAAUUUCUUCGCUGUUGCUAUUUUACUAGUCGCAGUGAGUGUCACAAAUGCUCAAAAAGCUAAAUCUCCACCAGCACCACCAUCAGCACCAGGUCCAGCGCCAGACUAUGAGACUACUAGCUGCAUAUCAGCAUCAGAUUGGGUUAUCUUGCUGAAAAGUAAUAAGGAAAGGUGUCGAUCGUCCCGUUUAUGAAGCAUGCCAAACAUCUCCUUGGCUUGAUACGAUCCAGGGGUGCCAUGGGUAUUUGUUCCUGGGAUUUUUUUGCUCUCGAAAGACUUUGCAGUUGGAUCACUUGACUUAACAACGAUGCCACCAGAAUCGUCCGGUGGUCUUAGAGUGUAGGUGCAAAACUAAGAUGGAACUGAAAGAAGGAUAGAGUUAUUUCCUAUAUUUUUUGGUUAUUCAGCGAUUGCAAUGUAAUUCAAAUUUGGAGAUAUGGGUUCGUGCUAUUCACUGUGCACUAUACGUAUUUGUUGCUUGAAAAAACAUGUACUUGAUAAAAUGAUCUUUGGUAAUGAAUAUUCUUAUAUACUGCCCACUCAAUUCUUCCAAAUAGUUGAGGGUGGCAGCAAAUAUUCCAGAAAUACAAACUACUUGAAAACUUUAUGAUA